rfam:Oikopleura dioica, whole genome shotgun assembly, reference scaffold set, scaffold scaffold_16
AAACAGGCUCUUUUCAGAGCCACAAACUCUUGUAGAUAUCUCUCU